GCAGUCCCAUUUCUAUCUAUCUGUCUAUCUACUUGGUCCAAAGCUUCAAAAUUCAACAACUUUUACUUCUUUACUUUCUCUCUCUUUUUUCCUCAUUUUCUCUCUCUAGAAAAAAGAAGAAAAAUUUAAAAAGGAAAAAAAGAAAAAAACCUCCAUUGAUAAACUGCUUUGUUUUUCAUCUUCAAUCUUCAUAUAUCUUCCUUGUUUUUUCUUCUUGUUCAAAUGUUAGUCUAAAGCAGCCCCUAUGCAUCUAUGCUGGGGCUGCAACGAUUUGGUGCAAUAGCCCUAGAGGUCCGGCUAAAAAAAAAGACGCUGAGUGAAGAAAAGCCAUAAUUAAUAACAAAAGAAAAGUAAUAUGGUCUUCAAGGGCAGAUUUUUUUCGUCCUCGAAGAAGUCCGAUUCAUCUUCCAACAACAACAGCCCCGAUGGAUCCUCCAACAGUCCCAGAUCGUUCAGCCCCAAUUCCCCAAUCAGAUCCGACAAGAAGAAGCCCAAAUCGGCUCCUAAAGAAGACCACCACAGCCCCAAACCGCAGGUCGUCGCUGCUGGCGGCGGUGCUACCGGAUUCUCAGCUUCUUGGCGGCACGGGCAGGUCAAGGAUGGGUCGAAGAAGAAGGAUAAAGAUGUGAAAGGGAAAGAGAGUAGUCAGCAGGCUCACAAGUCGACGAGGCCUUUCAAGCUUAGCUCGAGUUCGGCGGCGGCGGCAGGGGUGUCGAGCUCUGUGGUGCCGAAGAAGUUGGCUUCUUCUUCGGCGGCGGCGGCGGCGGCGGCGGCGGCGGAAGUCAAGGAGCCGUCUUCGGUUUCUCCGAUUCUGGCGUCGUCGCUUGGGCUGAAUAGGAUAAAGACGAGAUCAGGGCCGUUGCCGCAGGAGAGCUUUUUUGGGUUUAGGGGUGAUAAAGUGUCGGCACUGGGGACAAGCAAUCUGUCGAGGCAUGGUGGUGGUGGUGAUGGGAGUUCGGGAUCGGGAAGCGGGGGGAAGAAGAAGGAGGUUGGGAGUAAUGGUAGGAAGAUGCCGCUUUUGGAUAAUGCUACUGCAACUGGGAAUUGGGUUGAUAAUGGUAGCAAUUCGGAUAGUAUGUCAACUGGUAGUGCACCGUCCAGAGACCAGAGUCCGAAUGUGGUGGCUCCGUCGCGGCUACAGAAUGGUGAAUCGUCUUCCCAAGCAGCUUUGACAGGGCGAUUUGAAUCAUCAUGUGGUCCUUCUGGUGGCUUGAGGAGUUCUGAUGUUUGUACACCAGAGGUACUGACUUCAUAUGAUUGUGAUAACCCAAAGGAGUCUGAAUCUCCUCGUUUUCAAGCCAUACUUCGUGUAACAAGUGCACCUAGGAAGAAGUUUCCUGCGGAUAUUAAAAGUUUUUCCCAUGAGCUGAAUUCCAAGGGUGUACGGCCAUUCCCUUUUUGGAAGCCUCGAGGGUUAAACAACCUGGAGGAGAUCUUGGUUGUCAUUCGGGCAAAAUUUGACAAAGCAAAGGAAGAAGUGAACUCUGAUUUGGCUAUAUUUGCAGCAGAUUUGGUUGGAAUUCUUGAAAAAAAUGUUGACACUCAUCCAGAGUGGCAGGAAACUAUUGAAGAUUUGCUAAUUUUGGCUCGAAGCUGUGCAAUGACGUCUCCAGGAGAUUUUUGGCUUCAGUGUGAGGGCAUAGUUCAGGAAUUGGAUGAUAGGCGUCAAGAACUACCUCCUGGUACACUGAAGCAGCUUCAUACCCGAAUGCUUUUUAUUCUCACAAGGUGUACCAGACUGUUGCAGUUCCACAAGGAAAGUGGAUUAGCUGAGGAUGAACAUGUUCUUCACCUUCGUCAAUCAAGAAUACUGCAUUCUGCAGGUAAACAAAUUCCUCCUCCUCUGGGAAGGGAUUCAAAAGAUUCUAAUGCUACAAAGGCCUCAAAAGCAGCUUCAGCUAGGAAAUCUUACAGUCAGGAGCAACAUAAUAUGGAUUGGAAGAAAGACCAUGCUGCUCAAGCUGUAAAUCUUUUUCCACCUCCAGCUGAUGACAACUCAAAGAAUUUGGAGUCUCCUAGUAGUAGAGAUAGAAUGUCAUCUUGGAAGAAACUUCCAUCUCCAGCAGGAAAAACCAUGAAAGAAACUGUGCGGUUGAAGGAGCAGAAUGAUGGUAAGGUAGAACAUCCAAAAACAUUGAACAACAAAAGGGGAAUGUCUGAUGGUGAUCUGGCUGCAGCUAAGCUCUCUGAGCCUCAUGUGAAAGAUUCUCACGAACAUUCUUUCAAGCAUCAUCACACAAUUUCUUGGGGUCACUGGGGAGACCAGCAGAAUGUAACUGAUGAGAAUUCAAUAAUUUGUCGCAUUUGUGAGGAAGAGGUUCCUACUGCAAAUGUGGAAGAUCAUUCAAGAAUUUGUGCAAUUGCUGAUAGAUGUGACCAGACGGGUUCAAGUGUCAAUGAACGUCUUAUGAGAAUUGCUGAAACCCUUGAAAAGAUGAUAGAAACAUUUGCACAGAAGGACAUCCAGCAUGGAGCAGGAAGUCCAGAUGUUGCAAAGGUAUCAAAUUCGAGUGUGACUGAAGAAUCUGAUGUUAUCUCACCAAAACUCAGUGAUUGGUCUCGCAGAGGCUCAGAGGACAUGCUUGAUUGUUUUCCUGAAGCUGAUAAUUAUGCUUUUAUGGAUGACCUGAAGAGUUUGCCUUCCAUGUCAUGUAAAACUCGUUUUGGUCCAAAGUCUGAUCAAGGAAUGACAACAUCAUCUGCAGGCAGUAUGACACCUAGAUCUCCAUUAUUGACACCGAGGACUAGUCAGAUUGACUUGCUCUUGGCAGGAAAGGGUGCUUACUUUGAGCAAGAUGAUCUUCCUCAGAUGAAUGAACUUGCUGAUAUUGCAAGAUGUGUAGCAAAUACAGCUAUGGAUGAUCAUCGUUCGAAUCAAUAUUUACUAUCUUGUCUUGAGGACUUGAGAAUUGUCAUCGAUCGCAGGAAAUUUGAUUCCCUCACUGUGGAGACUUUUGGUGCUCGCAUUGAGAAAAUGAUUCGGGAGAAGUUUUUGCAGCUUUGUGAGUUAGUUGAUGAUGAGAAUGUUGACAUAACAAGUACAGUAAUUGAUGAAGAUGCUCCCCUGGAAGAUGAUGUGGUUCGUAGCUUGAGAACAAGUCCUAUACAUUCUUCCAAGGACCGUACCUCUAUAGAUGAUUUUGAGAUUAUCAAACCGAUUAGCCGAGGGGCAUUUGGACGGGUUUUCUUGGCUAAGAAGAGAACAACAGGGGAUCUUUUUGCUAUAAAGGUUCUUAAAAAGGCUGAUAUGAUCCGUAAAAAUGCUGUUGAAAGUAUAUUAGCAGAACGUGACAUUUUGAUUUCAGUUCGCAAUCCUUUUGUGGUUCGCUUCUUCUAUUCGUUUACUUGUCGUGAAAAUUUAUAUCUUGUGAUGGAGUAUCUGAAUGGUGGAGAUUUGUACUCAUUGUUGAGAAAUUUGGGCUGCCUAGAUGAAGACGUUGCUCGUGUAUAUAUAGCAGAAGUGGUGCUUGCUUUAGAGUAUUUACAUUCACUUCGUGUGGUUCAUCGUGAUUUGAAACCUGAUAAUUUAUUGAUUGCUCAUGAUGGUCAUAUUAAGUUGACAGACUUUGGGCUCUCAAAGGUUGGUCUUAUCAACAGCACUGAUGAUUUAUCCGGUCCAGCAGUCAGUGGGACAUCCCUACUCGGGGAGGAUGAACCUCAGCUAUCUGUAUCUGAGCAUCAGCGAGAGAGACGAAAGAAACGCUCUGCUGUUGGUACACCUGACUAUUUGGCCCCAGAGAUACUUUUGGGAACAGGACAUGGUACAACUGCAGAUUGGUGGUCUGUUGGUGUCAUAUUAUUCGAACUCAUUGUUGGCAUUCCUCCCUUCAAUGCAGAGCAUCCGCAGACAAUAUUUGAUAAUAUUCUAAAUCGUAAAAUACCUUGGCCUCGGGUACCUGAAGAAAUGAGUCCUGAAGCACAUGAUCUGAUUGAUCGAUUGUUGACAGAAGAUCCAAAUCAAAGACUUGGAGCUGGAGGAGCAUCAGAGGUGAAGCAACAUGUAUUUUUCAAAGAUAUCAACUGGGACACUCUUGCCAGGCAGAAGGCUGCAUUUGUUCCCACGUCGGAGAGUGCAUUUGAUACUAGUUACUUUACAAGUCGAUACUCAUGGAAUACUACAGAUGACAUUAAUUAUCCAGCUAGUGACUUUGAAGACUCCAGCGAUGCUGAUAGCUUAAGCGGCAGCAGUAGUUGCUUGAGCAAUCGCCAUGAUGAAGUGGUGGAUGAAUGUGGGGGUCUUGCUGAAUUCGAGUCUGGCUCAUCUGUUAAUUAUUCAUUCAGUAAUUUUUCGUUUAAGAAUCUGUCUCAGCUUGCAUCCAUCAACUAUGACCUGCUUUCAAAGGGUUGGAAGGAAGAUCCCCCUGCAAAUUCCUGAUGCCUAAAAAUACUCUGCUGCUAUAUCAAGUCAAAAGUGGGGAUUUUAUUUUUGACAAUUAGAUUGAUAUUGGCAUUAAUUGGACUAAAUGCCUUUGUCGUUUUGUAUACCCCUUGUACAUAGAUGCAUAGAAGAAAAAUACUGAAAACUGGAUCGGGAAAUGGUCUUAGGACGAGGAAAAAAAAAAAAAAGCUGGGCUUUCUUAGUUA